rnacentral:tRNA from 1 species
CGGGGCGUAGCUCAGCCAGGUAGAGUGCCGGCUUUGGGAGCCGGUGGUCGCCGGUUCGAAUCCGGCCGCCCCGACCA